GAGGGGUGGCAGAGUGGUUGAAUGCGGCGGUCUCGAAAACCGUUUAUCCGGUGUCCCCGGGUACGAGGGUUCGAAUCCCUCCUCCUCC
rnacentral:tRNA from 1 species